GUUGAGCUGGGGGCGGCCUGGGGAGCGGCGAGGCCCAGGCAGACAGAUGUGCAGGGCUUCUAUCUGAAUUCAAGGGGGCGCUCAGCUCCAUCAAGGGCCCCUGAGAGCUGCUGAGCACGCGCGAAGCAACCAAGAUCCUGUCACCUCAGAGACCGUGCUGCGUCCUCCUUUGGCUGGGCCAGGAGCAGCUGCCCGGGGUUCCCUGUCCCACCGUGGCUGCAAAGGCGGGGUCUCCAGGCUGAAGGACCCCGAGGGUCUCCGAACAUCAGGAAGUCGCCCAGCCUGGGCUGCCUGGGCUUGAACUUGUGGUCCUCCUGCCUCAGCUGCCCAGAGCCCUGGGAUCAUAGCAUGCGUGUAUCCAGGACACCAUUCAUUCAGCCUUCCCAGCAACUCAGCGCAUUCGGAGCUGUUAUAUCUCCACUUUAGCAACGGGAAACUGAGGCACGGAGGUGAAAAGGAACUGGACACACAGCCAGCAAGUGGUGAGCACUGGGACCUGGGCCCAGCCCAGCAGAGACUGUGCUGCCUCAGCAGUGCACACCAGGGGUCCAAUAGUGACACUGCUUUCCCUUCCCAGCCUGCUCCACCCUCCCCGGAAGUCUGGGGUGCCUUUGAGGGGGACAUUUCAGCAGGGCAGGGACAGAGACAGGCAAGUAGGAGCCCAGGGCAAACCCGGGGCUGGCCCCACCUUGCCAGGGAUGCUCCGAAAAGUUUGCCUGAGGCAGGAGGAUGUCAACUUUGAGCCCGGACCCCCUUCCAGCCAGGGAGAGUUGGGAAAAGGGUGCUGCAGUCAGCCCGGGGAGGCCCACCCAGCUGUGGGAGCAGGUCGGGGACGGACUGCUUUCCGGAUAGGCCUUCUUGUCCCUGUGGUGUGGCCUGGGAGACCCCAGGGUCCCCCUGAGAGCAGUCCACCCCGCGCACAGGGGAACAGCCCCCACUCCCAGCUGUCACACGAGC
rnacentral:lncRNA from 1 species